rnacentral:lncRNA from 1 species
CCACCCCGAAGAAAGUGCAGAUCAUUAACUCUGGAGAAGCAUCGAUUGAUGAUUGAUAUGGUUGUUAGCGCUUAUAAAUAGGAGGCCAAAGAGCAAAGGGAUCCCUACUUCUCCUUCUGUGGCAAGAAGUCUUCUUCUUCAUCUACUGCCAUGUCAUUGCCUUUGAAUCUAUCAGUCUUGGAGCAAAUCAAGCAAUGGAUGAG